CUGAGCUCUGUUGGCAGCAGGAAGAGAGACUCCUGUUGAGCAGGCAGCCUGUUGGCCAAGCCAGCCAUAUCCACGGCUUCUCUGAGGUUCUCAGGUCAGAAUCACGACAUUAAUAGUGUUAUUGCCAUGGAAAAGAAAAUGAGCUUCAGGAUAAUCUGCUUUACAAUGCCACUUCUGGAAAAUUCCACUGGCAAAAUGUAGGGCUUGCCUCUAUUUUACUCCCUCUCCUAGCAAGGGGCACCUUGUUAGGAAUCCUGUUUUGACAGAGCCCAGGGUAGGUUUUGUCAUGACUCAGAGGGAAGAUGGGGCCACCAACUCCCCUCCCUUUAUGAGGAGCCUCUGCCUACUUCAAAGCUGGUGUCCUGAGCUCUGCCACAGGUGAGUGAGACAGAGAAAUCCACAGAGGUGUCUCCAUAGAAACCCCAGGGAUUCUGCACUGUGGUCACCCCCACAGAAAAGCAUCCACCCUGGCUCCUCGGCCAGGAGCUGGCCUCUGACAGAAGCUGCUUCCUGUUUUCACUGCGUUUCCUCGAAGACUUCAGCUGCUCAUCCUGAUUUCCUGGUGAAAACAAUUUCCCCAUCACUAGCCCAGUGUUGACUCCAGAACCCAGGCAUGUGGGAUGAGACGUCCAGGGGAGGAAGAGGAGGGGUGGAACGCUGCAUGACAGUCUACUGGAGAGGAAAGAUACGAAUGAAUGGCAGAGGUGGAGAUGGUGUUUUUAAAAAGAUAGAAUUAAGGCAGAGGGCUCUGCCACAGCCUGCCUGCCGUGUGGACCAAGCAUGGGAUUUGGAGACCAAUAACCCUGGCUCUGACAUGUAUUAGCUGUGUGAUUUUGGGAGCCUCAGUUUCCUUAUCUGUGAAAUGGAGGUAGCAAUGCCUUCUACACAGGGCUACUGUGAGCAAUGCGGAUACUGUCAUUGAAACAUUGGGCAUGCGAUUAUUAAAAUAACGGAAACAUUUUCUGUCUUGAGAUACAGUUUAAUGUCACUGAAAGAGCAUACGCCUUAGGGCCAGUG
rnacentral:lncRNA from 1 species